GAGGGUAUAGCUCAAAGGUAGAGUGCAUGCUUAGCAUGCAUGAGGUCCUGGGUUCAAUCCCCUGUAGCCCCA
rnacentral:tRNA from 1 species